GCCGGUCGGCGGCACGACGGCGGUGUCGUCGUCGCCCGCCGCGGCGCGGUCGAAGACGCGGCCGAGCAUCGGCUCGACGCCGAUCGAGCGGUAC
rnacentral:tRNA from 1 species